AACGCCAACAUGACAUAAUUGUGAGUUGCUGUAAUUGGCUGCAAUCAACGAUCAGUUGUAUGUUUGAUGCUGACACAUCAUUUCCGGCAUUUGGUGGUAGAAAUGGGAACUCCCCAAUUUCCUCGGAUAAGAAAUCAUCGAAAGUGAUAAUUUUUGUGACAGUUGAAACGGCUCACGCACCAUCGCAAUACGGUCAAAAUUCUGUCGUGAGCAGUUUUACCAAAUAGUAACGUUGUUGAAUUUUAAGUACUGGUUAUACACAAUAGUUUUGGAAUGUUACAAGUGUCAUUUCUUUCAACCUGUGUAUUUUCCUAAUGACAAAUUUAUCUCACACUAUGACUGGCAUAACCAAAUUUUAUCUAUGCAGACAUACAUUGAUAUGCACACGUUAUCUGACAAUAGCAAAAUUAAUGACAUUGAUCUUGACAUUUUCCAAUUACCGAGCAGUAACGCUACAAUUUCAAGAUCUUUAAUACCCGAUAUCAACAUGGAGAAUAGGCACCCACAAAGAGGUCAGUCUACAGGGCCGAGAAGGCCAUUUAGGGGUCAUGGGCAACGUGGUCAGCAUAGGUCACGUAGUCAACAAGGUCAGCAUAGGGAACAUGGUCAACAAGGUCAGCAUAGGGAACAUGGUCAACAAAGUCAGCAUGAGGAACAUGGUCAACGUGGGGAACGUGGUAAAUAUCGACGUGGUCGACAAGGUCAGCAUGGACAACGUGGUCAACAUAUACAAAGUAAUCAGCGAGGACAGCACUCCGCCCAAGCGAGCCGAAAUGUGCAAGAAUCUUGUGAACCAUCUAAAUAUUAUGACUGGUUUGACUUGCGACUAAAAGUUGCUGAACCUGAUGAGAACUCACAACAAAGUGAUUCACGAUCGUCUUCACCUUCUGUAUCACAAUUCUCAGGACCAAAAUUCCAUAGACAAAGCAGGAAUUCUAGUGGAAGCGCACAGUAUUCUCAUCAAGAAAAAUGUUCAAAGUACCUUCAUUUUCUUCAAUUAAAAAGACUAAGUGAAAUGGAUGAGAAUGAAGUAGCAGCAGAACUGUCACACAACCCUGAUUUCAAGCUCUUACUGAACAGCGAUUUGAACAAAGAUUUCAUUGUUGUUACACUUCGUAUUUUGGCAAAGCUUGGACAAGCAAAUUUCACAAGAAUUGUGAUAAAUAUCCUCAGCGAUGUAUGCCAGUCGAAAUUCCUCGCCAACUUAGAACACUAUUUGGUAUCCCUACCUUCUGAAACUCAAAGCAAGACAAAAGAUAAUAGAUUUUACUGGGAAAACAUUGACGGAUUCUGGAAUACCUUGUAUGCUUUUUAUAAAGCAGUCAUCAAUUUUGUUCCUGUAGACUCUCAUGGUACAUUAAUACCAGUCAUGGAGCUAACUAUGCGAUAUGUUAUAGAGUCUAUAAAAACCAAAGCUGAUCAUAAAAUUGAUAAAGAGAUAGAAUAUGGUAUUCAGAAAUUACAUCAGCAACUGAAAAAGAAAAGAGAAAAGGGUAGUGAAACAUUCAUGGACUUCAGAACUUUGAAUAUCGUACCAACGGUAGAAGAUCUCAAUGAUCAUCAUCCAUACAUCAGACCUUGCAAAACUCAUGGUGCCUAUGAUUCAGUGGACCAUUACCUGGAUGUCCAGUUUCGACUGGUCCGCGAAGACUUUUUAUGUCCAUUGAGAGAGGGUAUUCGAGAGUAUAAAGAAGCGUUAGCAGCAAAUAGAAAAAUCCCAAAGCCAAAGUCAAAUAUUAGGGUUUUCCAAAAUGUAAAGUUGAUAGGUUCAGCUAUAGUACGAAAUCAAGUUGGCAUAACUAUUUCUUUUGGAGUUAUGCCAAAAAUAAACUGGAAUCGUUCGAAGUUGUUCAUGUACGGAUCACUCCUAUGUUUUACUAAUGAUAACUUCAAGAGCAUUUUCUUCGCAACUGUCGCCGAGCGAGAUCCAAAACUCUUAGGAAGAGGCGAACUAGUCAUUGAGCUUUGUACAGGAUCAGAAAUGAUGCGAAACAUGUACAACUGCUCAUUUGUUAUGGUAGAGUCAAAAGUAUAUUUUUUGCCCUACUACCAUACUCUUCGCAGCUUACGCUUUAUGACUGAAGAGAAUUUCCCAAUGAAGCGCUAUAUCGUAGAUGCGGAAUCAUCUCCUUCUCCACCGAAAUAUCUCGAUCAAAGCACAGUCUAUGUGUGUAAAGGAUUCAGAAUUCCUGUGAUGGAUACUAAACGAUGGCCAAGUGCUAAAUACCUUCAGUUUGAUCAAUCCCAGUAUGAAGCCUUUAAAUGUGCGCUUCUACAAGAAUUAUCAGUAUUACAUGGGCCACCAGGUACUGGUAAGACAUUUAUGGCAUUGCAAAUAGCUAGCACAUUGUUAGCCAAUUCUUCAAGUUGGUACAAGUCAUCGCAGCCCACACCCAUGAUUGUUGUUUGCUUGACAAAUCAUGCCCUUGAUCAGUUUCUGGAAGGUAUUAUGUUGCAUACAGAAUCAUUAGUUCGCAUUGGCGAACAAUCCAAAAACCCAAAUUUGACCAAAUACAAAUUGAAAAAUGUACGUGAUAAUUACUUUAACAAAGAGAAAAAGAAAAACUCUUUAUGGCGGCAUAUGUAUCACAACCGCAAUCUAUUAAACGUAAUAUUGAAUGAGCUCAGUAUGCUCUACUCAGUGCUAAGGGCUUUGACAAGUGAUACUGUUAUAGUCUCGCCACAUAUACUUCGGCAAUAUGCCAAUGAUGAUAGAUUGCAUGGCAUAAAUGCUGACGAUUUAUUUACUCAACUAUUUGGUGCAAAUUCUAUACCUUUAAUUCAGGAAAUAAAUACCUACAAAUACAAUUCGGGUGAGUCUUCAGCAAAAUCUGAAUAUGACUCCGAGGAUGAGAACAUAGAUAUAGAUGAUGAUUUUGAUGUAGCAAGUAUAGUACUUGCGGAUAAAUCGCAAAUUACUUGUUUCGAUAUCAGUGAUCUGGAUGCUGUUAUUCACAGACUUGAAACAAAAAUAAUUCAGUGUAGCACCAAUAAAACCGAAGAGGUACAUCUUAAAGAGGAUUUCAAUAAAGUACUUGAGCAAUUCAAAACACUACAGACAACUGCACAGGGAAUUCUGAGUCAACAUCCCCUAAGUGAAAAUCAGUCUACAUCACAGAACUACCUAAAAUACGAAACAUGGGAAAUCUAUAGUAGUUGGUUGUUAAGCUGCCAUGAAGUGGUGCAAAAACGUGUUGUGCAGCUAGAAACGGAGUAUGAUGAAAUAUCAGCUAAACUGGAUGAUUUCAAACAAAUGACUGAUUUAGAAGUGAUGCGUAAUGCUUUGGUCAUAGGAUUGACCACUACAGGUGCAGCUAGGUUGCACGAAACCUUGCGUGCCCUGAAGGCUCCAAUAGUACUGGUAGAGGAAGCAGCAGAAAUUCUUGAAGCUCAUGUAAUAUGUUCUCUGACAGAACACUGUCAACAAGUUAUUCUUAUAGGCGAUCAUAAACAAUUACGACCAAAACCGGCUACUUAUGAGUUGGAGGUGAAUUAUAACCUGAACAUUUCUCUCUUUGAGAGAAUAGUGAAGAUGAGAAAUAAAAGUGCACAGUUAGUUGUUCAGCAUCGUAUGCGGCCACAAAUUGCUGAGCUGAUAUCCCCGGCGAUAUAUGAAACACUAGUGAAUCAUGUAUCCGUGUUCACUUAUCCUGCAGUAAAAGGUUUGGAGAAAAAUUUAUUCUUUUUGAAUCAUCAAAAUCAUGAAUUGGGAACUUCAGAAAGCGAGUCAAUGUCCAACCCUUUCGAAAUCAAAUUUUUAUUGGCUUUUGCACAAUAUUUGCUGCAACAAGGAUAUACUUCGGAUGAAAUCACUAUACUGUGUACAUACAGUGGUCAGUUAUUGAAAUUCAAAGAGGCUAAAAGAAGUAUGCCAAUGUUGUGUAAUGUACGCGUAACGACAGUCGACAACUACCAGGGAGAGGAAAACAAAAUAAUACUACUAUCGUUGGUUCGGAAUAACCAUAAUGGUAACAUUGGAUUUUUACGUACUGAGAAUAGAGUUUGUGUAGCACUAUCACGUGCUCGCGAAGGACUCUAUAUUAUGGGAAAUAUGGACAACUUAAUAGUAAACAAUGAAAUUUGGCCCAAGAUAAAAAAAACCCUUGAAAACAACGAUGCUAUCGGGAGUUCGCUUGUUUUGCAGUGCCAAAAUCAUCCAGAUCAAUUAACAGAGAUAAGAAAAGCAAACGAUUUCAAAAUCUCUCCUACUGGUGGAUGCUCACGUCAAUGUGAUACUGUAUUGCCUUGCGGUCAUACCUGUAUAAAUCUUUGUCAUAUUUCGGACAGAGAUCAUGAGAAUUACGUUUGCAAAGAACCAUGUUUGAAACGCUGCCCCAAUGGCCAUCGUUGUGAUUCAGGGUGCAAUGUAGCCUGUCCACCUUGUAAAUUUUCAAUCACGACAAAUAUCAAGUGCGGUCAUAUCGCAACUUUUCCUUGCUGUACAGAUUUAGAAGAAUAUAAAUGUCAAUUCAAGGAAUUAACUCCCUUAAGCUGUGGUCACACUGUAAGAAAGCCUUGUCAUUUACCUUUUGCGACAUUUCAGUGUACUCAUAUUUGUGCGAAAUUGUUAUCUUGUGGUCACACUUGCAAAAGAAAAUGUCACAUCAAAGAAGAUCCUGAUCAUCUACAAUAUGUAUGUUUUGAAGAAUGUAAAAAAAUAGCACUUGAAUGUGCACUUGACCAUCGAUGCUAUAAACGAUGCCAUGAAUCAUGUGGAGUUUGUAUAGUAGAUGUGAUAAAGGAACGUUCCUGUGGCCAUAAAUAUAAAGUGCAAUGCUCAAAUGAUGUGGAAAAAAAAAAGUGUAGUCGACGAUGCAAACGCGAGCUACCAUGUGGUCAUACGUGCAAAGAGAAGUGUUUCAUGCCAUGCGGAAAUUGUAAAGAAAUGACAGUCAAGAUUGUACCUGACUGUGGCCAUGAAAUAAAAAUUCCUUGUUCUGAGAAUCCAACAGUUGCUGCUUGUACGGGUCAAUGCCCACGGAAGCUUGAAUGUGGACAUCCCUGCAAAGCCCAAUGCAAGGAACCAUGUACUAAACGAUGCGAAUAUCCACGACCCUUGCCAAAACUGGGAUUAUGUCAACAUAUAUAUUCUGUGCCAUGUUACAAAAUAGAAGCUGGUUUACCAGAAUAUGCAGAUAAACUUUUGCAGCAUUGUCCACAACCUUGCGCUACUGCGUUACCUUGUGGUCACGUUUGUAACGGUAGUUGUGGUUCCUGUAAACAAGGACGAAUCCAUAUUGCAUGCCAUCAACCUUGCAACAAGAUUCUCAUCUGUGGUCAUAAGUAUAUUACGUAUGACAAAUCUAGUGGUACCAAAGCCACAGUUUCCGAUAGUUUUCCUUUCCCAAUUACAAGGAAUGUCAUUGUUACAGAUGCACGGCUCUUUGCAAGGAUCAAUGUCGGCCGUGUAAUAAAAUAUGUUCUCUGAAAUGUCAACAUACUGAAUGUAAACUCAAGUGCCGGGUACCUUGUACGCCAUGUCAGGAACCCUGUUCAUGGCGUUGUGAACAUCUUCAAUGUGAGAAACUGUGCUUUGAAAUAUGUGAUCGAGAGGCAUGUAAUGAACCAUGCCGAAAACUUACUAAAUGUGGGCAUCCCUGCAUCGGAUUUUGCGGUGAACCAUGCC
rnacentral:misc_RNA from 1 species